AUUGAACGCUGGCGGCAGGCCUAACACAUGCAAGUCGAACGGUAACAGGAAACAGCUUGCUGUUUCGCUGACGAGUGGCGGACGGGUGAGUAAUGUCUGGGAAACUGCCUGAUGGAGGGGGAUAACUACUGGAAACGGUAGCUAAUACCGCAUAACGUCGCAAGACCAAAGAGGGGGACCCUCGGGCCUCUUGCCAUCGGAUGUGCCCAGAUGGGAUUAGCUUGUUGGUGGGGUAACGGCUCACCAAGGCGACGAUCCCUAGCUGGUCUGAGAGGAUGACCAGCCACACUGGAACUGAGACACGGUCCAGACCCCUACGGGAGGCAGCAGUGGGGAAUAUUGCACAAUGGGCGCAAGCCUGAUGCAGCCAUGCCGCGUGUAUGAAGAAGGCCUUCGGGUUGUAAAGUACUUUCAGCGGGGAGGAAGGGAGUAAAGUUAAUACCUUUGCUCAUUGACGUUACCCGCAGAAGAAGCACCGGCUAACUCCGUG
rnacentral:rRNA from 1 species